rnacentral:rRNA from 1 species
AUUGAACGCUGGCGGAAUGCUUUACACAUGCAAGUCGAACGGCAGCACGGGGGCAACCCUGGUGGCGAGUGGCGAACGGGUGAGUAAUACAUCGGAACGUGCCCAGUCGUGGGGGAUAACGUAGCGAAAGCUACGCUAAUACCGCAUACGAACUCUGGUUGAAAGCGGGGGAUCGCAAGACCUCGCGCGAUUGGAGCGGCCGAUGGCAGAUUAGGUAGUUGGUGGGGUAAAGGCCUACCAAGCCGACGAUCUGUAGCUGGUCUGAGAGGACGACCAGCCACACUGGGACUGAGACACGGCCCAGACUCCUACGGGAGGCAGCAGUGGGGAAUUUUGGACAAUGGGCGCAAGCCUGAUCCAGCCAUUCCGCGUGUAGGAUGAAGGCCCUCGGGUUGUAAACUGCUUUUGUACGGAACGAAACGCGCCGGGUUAAUACCUCGGCGUAAUGACGGUACCGUAAGAAUAAGCACCGGCUAACUACGUGCCAGCCGCCGCGGUAACAC